GAGAGUUUGAUCCUGGCUCAGGACGAACGCUGGCGGCGUGCCUAAUACAUGCAAGUCGUACGCUUCUUUUUCCACCGGAGCUUGCUCCACCGGAAAAAGAAGAGUGGCGAACGGGUGAGUAACACGUGGGUAACCUGCCCAUCAGAAGGGGAUAACACUUGGAAACAGGUGCUAAUACCGUAUAACAAUCGAAACCGCAUGGUUUUGAUUUGAAAGGCGCUUUCGGGUGUCGCUGAUGGAUGGACCCGCGGUGCAUUAGCUAGUUGGUGAGGUAACGGCUCACCAAGGCCACGAUGCAUAGCCGACCUGAGAGGGUGAUCGGCCACAUUGGGACUGAGACACGGCCCAAACUCCUACGGGAGGCAGCAGUAGGGAAUCUUCGGCAAUGGACGAAAGUCUGACCGAGCAACGCCGCGUGAGUGAAGAAGGUUUUCGGAUCGUAAAACUCUGUUGUUAGAGAAGAACAAGGAUGAGAGUAACUGUUCAUCCCUUGACGGUAUCUAACCAGAAAGCCACGGCUAACUACGUGCCAGCAGCCGCGGUAAUACGUAGGUGGCAAGCGUUGUCCGGAUUUAUUGGGCGUAAAGCGAGCGCAGGCGGUUUCUUAAGUCUGAUGUGAAAGCCCCCGGCUCAACCGGGGAGGGUCAUUGGAAACUGGGAGACUUGAGUGCAGAAGAGGAGAGUGGAAUUCCAUGUGUAGCGGUGAAAUGCGUAGAUAUAUGGAGGAACACCAGUGGCGAAGGCGGCUCUCUGGUCUGUAACUGACGCUGAGGCUCGAAAGCGUGGGGAGCAAACAGGAUUAGAUACCCUGGUAGUCCACGCCGUAAACGAUGAGUGCUAAGUGUUGGAGGGUUUCCGCCCUUCAGUGCUGCAGCUAACGCAUUAAGCACUCCGCCUGGGGAGUACGACCGCAAGGUUGAAACUCAAAGGAAUUGACGGGGGCCCGCACAAGCGGUGGAGCAUGUGGUUUAAUUCGAAGCAACGCGAAGAACCUUACCAGGUCUUGACAUCCUUUGACCACUCUAGAGAUAGAGCUUCCCCUUCGGGGGCAAAGUGACAGGUGGUGCAUGGUUGUCGUCAGCUCGUGUCGUGAGAUGUUGGGUUAAGUCCCGCAACGAGCGC
rnacentral:rRNA from 1 species